GCGUCUGUAGCUCAGCUGGAUAGAGCGAUGGCCUUCGAAGCCAGCGGCCGCAGGUUCGAAUCCUGCCAGACGCA
rnacentral:tRNA from 1 species